rnacentral:rRNA from 1 species
UACGGGGGGAGCAAGCGUUGUUCGGAAUUACUGGGCGUAAAGCGCACGUAGGCGGAUUUGUAAGUCAGGGGUGAAAUCCCGGGGCUCAACCUCGGAACUGCCUUUGAUACUGCAAGUCUUGAGUCCGGAAGAGGUGAGUGGAAUUCCUAGUGUAGAGGUGAAAUUCGUAGAUAUUAGGAAGAACACCAGUGGCGAAGGCGGCUCACUGGUCCGGUACUGACGCUGAGGUGCGAAAGCGUGGGGAGCAAACAGG